UGGAGUUCUUACAAGAUGGCAGA
rnacentral:piRNA from 1 species